rnacentral:rRNA from 1 species
UACGUAGGUGGCGAGCGUUGUCCGGAUUUACUGGGCGUAAAGGGCGCGUAGGCGGCCAACUAAGUCGAACGUGAAAUCCCUGGGCUCAACCCAGGAACUGCGUCCGAUACUGGUUGGCUUGAAUCCGGGAGAGGGAUGCGGAAUUCCAGGUGUAGCGGUGAAAUGCGUAGAUAUCUGGAGGAACACCGGUGGCGAAGGCGGCAUCCUGGACCGGUAUUGACGCUGAGGCGCGAAAGCCAGGGGAGCAAACGGG